AGUUUUUUCCACUGUUCCAUCAGCAACUGGGCGAACAUAGGGCACAUGGCCACUCUUAUGCUGCGUUUUUUGAAGUUUUUUCCACUGUUCCAUCAGCAACUGGGCGAACAUAGGGCACAUGGCCACUCUUAUGCUGCGUUUUUUGAAGUUUUUUCCACUGUUCCAUCAGCGACUGGGCAAACAUAGGGCACAUGGCCACUCUUAUGCUGCGUUUU